AGUGGCGGACGGGUGAGUAACGCGUGAGAAUCUGCCUUGGGGUCGGGGACAACCACUGGAAACGGUGGCUAAUACCGGAUAAGCCGAUUGGUGAAAGAUUUAUUGCCCGAAGAGGAGCUCGCGUCUGAUUAGCUAGUUGGUGAGGUAAGAGCUCACCAAGGCAGCGAUCAGUAGCUGGUCUGAGAGGACGAUCAGCCACACUGGGACUGAGACACGGCCCAGACUCCUACGGGAGGCAGCAGUGGGGAAUUUUCCGCAAUGGGCGAAAGCCUGACGGAGCAAGACCGCGUGAGGGAGGAAGGCUCUUGGGUUGUAAACCUCUUUUCUCAGGGAAGAAGCUCUGACGGUACCUGAGGAAUCAGCCUCGGCUAACUCCGUGCCAGCAGCCGGUAAUACGGAGGAGGCAAGCGUUAUCCGGAAUUAUUGGGCGUAAAGCGUCCGCAGGUGGCGAUUCAAGUCUGCUGUCAAAGCACGGGGCUUAACUCCGUAAAGGCAGUGGAAACUGAAUAGCUAGAGUGCCGUAGGGGUAGAGGGAAUUCCCGGUGUAGCGGUGAAAUGCGUAGAGAUCGGGAAGAACAUCGGUGGCGAAAGCGCUCUACUGGACGGCAACUGACACUCAGGGAAAAGCUAGGGGAGCGAAUGGGAUUAGAUACCCC
rnacentral:rRNA from 1 species